GGAGGGUUGGCAGAGUGGACGAACGCGCCGCACUCGAAAUGCGGUAGGGGAACUUCCCCUCAGAGGUUCAAAUCCUCUACCCUCCG
rnacentral:tRNA from 1 species